rnacentral:lncRNA from 1 species
GGGGCUUCUGGAGAAUUAGCUGCUUGCUUUCCUUGCUUGGCGUCUCUUGGAUAAAGACUUUCCUUUAUCAACACUGUGUCGGUAGAUUGGUCUUAUUGCGAGAGGGCGCGUAGACCCAAGUUUGGUUCGGUUACAGCUCCGUCAUUUUGAUCACCAUCGCACACUUUGACCUCAGGUCAGACCAAAUUCCUUGGGUAUAAUAAUGCUGCUGCUGCUGCUAAUAAUAAUAACUAAAUAUGCAAAUCUGCUAAUAAAAAUAACAAUAACUGUGCUCUUUGAGCACUAACUGCAACCCAGACCCUCUGCUAAGCACCUUUGUGGGUCAUCAUCCUUGUUCCGUCUUCAUAACCACUUUGUGAGGGAGACUGACUGUGACCCUGACUGUGAAAUCUGUGUUCCUGAUAGAAUUAUAUAGAUAAAAUCUUCUACUAAUAGCAGCACUUUGGCUUAGUGGUGGCUGGAUCUGUAUUAAUAUUUUGGGUCUUAAUUGGUGACUGGAUCGACAGGAAACCAAAAAAGAAAGAAGGGAGCUGGAACAGUUCUGGCACUGCUGGCUCACCGUGUCUUCCAUCCACCCUGUGUGCCGUGAGAGUAAACGUCAGAGGCAAGACGCGAAUGCCCUUCAGUGAGUCAUCUCUGGGUGGUCCUGCUCACUGAUUUGGGAUCUAACUAAUCUUUAAGCAGUGUUCUCCUCACCCGUAAUUUUCAAAUCAGAGCCUAAAUCUCACAGACAUGAAGGCAAUGGAACAGCAGCGUCUCUGUCUGCAAGGUACAAAUUAGCACCAUAUCUGGUGGUACUAGGAUAGGAAGAAGA